GAGUAACACGUAAACAACCUGCCUUCAGGAUGGGGACAACAGACGGAAACGACUGCUAAUACCGAAUAAGUUCCAAGAGCCGCAUGGCCCAUGGAAGAAAAGGUGGCCUCUACCUGUAAGCUAUCGCCUGAAGAGGGGUUUGCGUCUGAUUAGCUGGUUGGAGGGGUAACGGCCCACCAAGGCGACGAUCAGUAGCCGGUCUGAGAGGAUGAACGGCCACACUGGAACUGAGACACGGUCCAGACUCCUACGGGAGGCAGCAGUGGGGAAUCUUCCGCAAUGGGCGAAAGCCUGACGGAGCAACGCCGCGUGAGUGAUGACGGCCUUCGGGUUGUAAAACUCUGUGAUCCGGGACGAAAAGGCAGAGUGCGAAGAACAAACUGCAUUGACGGUACCGGAAAAGCAAGCCACGGCUAACUACGUGCCAGCAGCCGCGGUAAUACGUAGGUGGCAAGCGUUGUCCGGAAUUAUUGGGCGUAAAGCGCGCGCAGGCGGCUUCCCAAGUCCCUCUUAAAAGUGCGGGGCUUAACCCCGUGAUGGGAAGGAAACUGGGAAGCCGGAGUAUCGGAGAGGAAAGUGGAAUUCCUAGUGUAGCGGUGAAAUGCGUAGAGAUUAGGAAGAACACCGGUGGCGAAGGCGACUUUCUGGACGAAAACUGACGCUGAGGCGCGAAAGCGUGGGGAGCAAACAGGAUUAGAUACCCUGGUAGUCCACGCCGUAAACGAUGGAUACUAGGUGUAGGAGGUAUCGACCCCUCCUGUGCCGGAG
rnacentral:rRNA from 1 species